rnacentral:rRNA from 1 species
AGGACGAACGCUGGCGGCGUGCUUAACACAUGCAAGUCGAGCGGAAAGGCCCUUCGGGGUACUCGAGCGGCGAACGGGUGAGUAACACGUGAGCAACCUGCCCUUAGCUUCGGGAUAGCUCCGGGAAACCGGAAUUAAUACCGAAUAUGACUUUGGCUGACAUCAGCAGAAGUGGAAAGUUUUUCGGCUAGGGAUGGACUCGCGGCCUAUCAGCUAGUUGGUGAGGUAACGGCCCACCAAGGCGACGACAGGUAGCCGGCCUGAGAGGGCGACCGGCCACACUGGGACUGAGACACGGCCCAGACUCCUACGGGAGGCAGCAGUGGGGAAUAUUGCGCAAUGGGCGAAAGCCUGACGCAGCGACGCCGCGUGGGGGAUGAAUGCCUUCGGGUUGUAAACCCCUUUCAGCAGGGACGAAGCGAAAGUGACGGUACCUGCAGAAGAAGCGCCGGCUAACUACGCGCCAGCAGCCGC